rnacentral:sRNA from 1 species
AGCACUGGUGAUUGGCACUUCUGGUCUCCAGGAUGGGGUUGAAGUUCCUACCGUGGU